rnacentral:rRNA from 1 species
GAUGAACGCUGGCGGCGUGCCUAAUACAUGCAAGUCGAGCGAAUGGAUUAAGAGCUUGCUCUUAUGAAGUUAGCGGCGGACGGGUGAGUAACACGUGGGUAACCUGCCCAUAAGACUGGGAUAACUCCGGGAAACCGGGGCUAAUACCGGAUAACAUUUUGAACCGCAUGGUUCGAAACUGAAAGGCGGCUUCGGCUGUCACUUAUGGAUGGACCCGCGUCGCAUUAGCUAGUUGGUGAGGUAACGGCUCACCAAGGCAACGAUGCGUAGCCGACCUGAGAGGGUGAUCGGCCACGCUGGGACUGAGACACGUCCCAGACUCCUACUGGAGGCAGCAGUAGGGAAUCUUCCGCAAUGUACGAAAGUCUGACGGAGCAACGCCGCGUGAGUGAUGAAGGCUUUCGGGUCGUAAAACUCUGUUGUUAGGGAAGAACAAGUGCUAGUUGAAUAAGCUGGCACCUUGACGGUACCUAACCAGAAAGCCACGGCUAACUACGUGCCAGCCGCCGCGGUAA